rnacentral:ncRNA from 2 species
CUCUUAUCAAGAGAGGUGGAGGGAAGGGCCCUAUGAAACCCAGCAACCGAUGCUUUGCAUUAUGGUGCUAAUUCCUGCAGAUUUGCUGCAAGAUAAGAG